rnacentral:tRNA from 1 species
UCCCUGGUGGUCUAGUGGUUAGGAUUCAGUGCUUUUCACUGCUGUGGCCCAGGUUCGAUCCCUGAUUGGGGAA